UUAGAUACCCUAUUAUUUUAAAAGUAAUUUAUUAAGCUAAGUUAUUAAUAGUUAUGUUCUUUAAAGCUAAAUAAUUUGGCGGUAUUUUAAUCUUUUCAGAGGAACCUGUCCUAUAAUUGAUAAUCCACGAUUUAAUUAACUUUAAUUAGAAAUUUUUAUAUCAUCGUUAUUAAAUAUUUUAAAAGAAUUAAAUAUUUAAGAUUUUCUUAUUAGAAAAUAAAUCAGAUCAAGGUGAAGUUUAUAUUAAAGAAGAGAUGGGUUACAAUAAAAUUUUUUUAUAGAUUUAUUUUUUAGAAAAUUUAAUGAAUUUGGAUUUGAAAGUAAUUAAUUUUAC
rnacentral:rRNA from 1 species